rnacentral:lncRNA from 1 species
UGGAGAUGGUGGAAAAUAAAGAUUGGUGAGGGGGAUUUGGUGGCGGAUGAAACAUCCCAUAGCUCCCCAGCUCUCACCAUCCAUGUGAGGAGAGUGAGCAAGGGACAUAGUCACCCAACCCGACUAGGUCUAGGCUCUGCUCUCCUCACGGUCCUCACAAGAUACAAAGAGAUAUGUAAACGUGGAAGUGAGAGUUCUCUAGGCAGAGUUUUGGGUUUGGUUUGAGCUGAGUUGGUCAGUUGAUUAUUGAUUACUAUUUUAAGUUCUAAAAGUGGAUAGAGUCAAAAAGUCACAGAGGAUUGUGGUGGGAGCAGGUGGUCCAUCUGGCACCAUUCUGCUCAUGCAGGGAUUCGAGUGAUAGAAAGAGAAUAGAUCUUGCCACCGUGACUCGCCAUUGAGACUCUCCUCACCUGCUGGUUUUCAUCCUCUGAUAGGAGAGAGGUACAGAUCAGGAGAGAGGGAGAAAAGGAGGGAGGCAGGGUGGGGUCAGGAGUUAAUUUGUCUUGAAAAGUAUUUAUCUUUUCGUCAUUGCUGUUAGGGUUUAGAUGUUUUUUGUUUAGUUUUCUGAGGAAUGUAGUGUUAGUAUAGGUUCCAAGGUGGAGGAUUCUUUGGAAUUCACUCUCACCCUUGAAACUGGAAGAUCUUAGAUUCUAUAAAGGGGGGGGGUGAGAGGUUGUGUGCACAGAAGGAGCAUGGGCUCAGACUAUUCUCGGAAUGAUAUUGUGACAAGUCUGUCCGAAGGUAAGUGGCUGGUUAGGUGUGGGAAAGAGAUAGAGUGAUAGCCCCCGCUUUCGUCAGUUGACUUGGCGGUUUGAGGUAGGCUGAUCAAGGGCUUGCACUGGCCGGCGCAUGUCGACCUGUCACAUGUUCCAGUCGAGUCUCCGAGCUCAAUCUGUGUGUAAAAAUUAUGUGUUGGUAGAAAGUUUAAUGACUCAGCUCAGUUGGUAUGCUAUGCUGUCUAUCUUUUAGACUAUGUGUUUGUAGAGCAAUAUUAUGUAUAUAUUAUGUUACAGGGCUAGGAAAAGGUUAAAGGUUUUUGGCGUUAGGGUUAAAAUCACUGUCCAAAACCUUUGUAGGAACUCGUUUCCAACCUUUUGGAGGGAGCUAGACUAGAAAAAAAAGAAAAAAGAAAAAAAAAAUUUGGGGUGUUCGGGCUUUUUUUGGAGUUAGUUAUACCGAAAAAAAAUGAAAAAUGAAAAAAAUAUAUUUGGGGUGUUCGGGCUUCCUGAAGGUAAUUAGGUUUUGGGGCUAGGGUAAGGUUUAAGGUUUUGGCGUUAGGGUUAAAAUCACUGUCCAAAACCUUUUUAGGAACAUGUUUCAGACCUUUUGGAGUUAGUUAGACAAAAAAAAAGAAAAAGAAAAAAAAUAUUUGGGGUGUUCGGGCUUCCUGAAGGUAAUUAGGGUUUAGGUUAGGGGCUAGAGUAAGGUUUAAGGUUUUUGGCGUAUGGGUUAAAAUCAACUGUCCAAUAUUUUUAAGGAACAUGUUUCAGACCUUUGGGAGUUAGUUAGACAAAAAAAAAGAAAAAUGAAAAAAAAAUAUUUGGGGUGUUCGGGCUUCCUGAAGGUAAUACCCAGGUAUUAGGUUAUGGGGCUAGGGUAAGGUUUAAGGUUUUUGGCGUAAGAGGGUUAAAAUCACUGUCCAAAACCUUUGUAGGAACAUGUUUAAGACCUUUUGGAGUUGGUUACACCAAAAAAAAAGAAAAUGAAAAAAAAUAUUUGGGGUGUUCGGGCUUCCUGAAGGUAAUACCCAAGUAUUAGGUUAUGGUGCUAGGGUAAGGUUUAAGGUUUUUGGCGUGAGGGUUAAAAUCACUGUCCAAAACCUUUUUAGGAACAUGUUUCAGACCUUUUGGAGUUAGUUAGACCAAAAAAAACGAAAAUGAAAAAAAAAUAUUUGGGGUGUUCGGGCUUCCUGAAGGUAAUACCGGGUAUAAGGUUAUGGGGCUAGGGUAAUGGUUUAAGGUUUUUGGCGUUAGGGUUAAAAUCACUGUCCAAAACCUUUGUAGGAACUCUUUUCCAACCUUUUGGAGUUAGUUAGACCAAAAAAAAAAAGAAAAAUGAAAAAAAAUAUAUUUGGGGUGUUCGGGCUUCCUGAAGGUAAUACCCGGGUAUUAGGUUAUGGGGCUAGGGUAAGGUUUAAGGUUUUUGGCGUUAGGGUUAAAAUCACUGUCCAAAACCUUUUUAGGAACAUGUUUCAGACCUUUUGGAGUUAGUUACACCAAAAAAAAUGUAAAAUGAAAAAAAAUAUUUUGGGUGUUCGGGCUUCCUGAAGGUAAUACCCGGGUAUUAGGUUUCUGGGCUAGGGUAAUGUUUAAGGUUUUUGGCGUUAGGGUUAAAAUAACUGUCCAAUAUUUUUUAAGGAACAUGUUUCAGACAUUUGGGAGUUAGUUAGACCAAAAAAAAAAGAAAAAUAAAAAAAAAAAAUUUGGGGUGUUCGGGCUUCCUGAAGGUAAUACCCGGGUAUUAGGUUAUGGGGCUAGGGUAAGGUUUAAGGUUUUUAGCGUUAGAGUUAAAAUCAGUGUCCAAAACCUUUUUAGGAACAUGUUUAAGACCUGUUGGAGUUGGUUACACCAAAAAAAAAUGUAAAAUGAAAAAAAAAAUAUUUGGGGUGUUCGGGCUUCCUGAAGGUAAUACCCGGGUAUUAGGUUUUUGGGCUAGGGUAAGGUUUAAGGUUUUUGGCGUUAGGGUUAAAAUCACUGUCCAAUAUUUUUUAAGGAACAUGUUUCAGACAUUUGGGAGUUAGUUAGACAAAAAAAAAAGAAAAAAGAAAAAAAAAAUAUUUGGGGUCUUCGGGCUUCCUGAAGGUAAUAAGGUUUUAGGUUUUUGGCGUGAGGGUUAAAAUCACUGUCCAAAACCUUUGUAGGACCUCUUUUCCAACCUUUUGGUGUUAGUUAGACAAAAAAAAAAACGAAAAAUGAAAAAAAAAUAUUUGGGGUUUUUGGGCCUCCUGAAGGUAAUACCCGGGUAUUAGGUUAUGGGGCUAUAGUAAGGUUUAAGGUUUUUGGCGUGAGGGUUAAAAUCACUGUCCAAAACCUUUGUAGGAACUAUUUCCAACCUUUUGGAGUUAGUUAGACCAAAAUAAAACGAAAAAUGAAAAAAAAUAUUUGGGGUUUUCGGGCUUCCUGAAGGUAAUAAGGUUUAAGGUUUUUGGCGUUAGGGUUAAAAUCACUGUCCAAUAUUUUUUAAGGAAGUCUUUUCCAACCUUUUGGAGUUAGUUAGACAAAAAAAAAAAGAAAAAUGAAAAAAAAAUAUUUGGGGUGUUCGGGCUUCCUGAAGGUAAUACCCGGGUAUUAGGUUAUGGGGAUAGGGUAAGGUUUAAGGUUUUUGGUGUAAGGGUUAAAAUCACUGUCCAAAACCUUUUUAGGAACAUGUUUCAGACCUUUUGGAGUUAGUUACACCAAAAAAAUGCAAAAUAAAAAAAAAAUUUUUUUGGGUGUUCGGGCUUCCUGAAGGUAAUACUAGGUUUCUGGGCUAGGGUAAUGUUUAAGGUUUUUGGCGUUAGGGUUAAAAUCAAUGUCCAAAACCUUUGUAGGAACUCUUUUCCAACCUUUGAGAGCAAGUUAGACCAAAAAAAAAAAGAAAAUGAAAAAAAAAUAUUUGGGGUGUUCGGGCUUCCUGAAGGUAAUACCAGGGUAUUAGGUUAUGGGGCUAGGGUUAGGUUUAACGUUUUUGGUGUAAGAGUUGAAAUCAUUUUCCAAAACCUUUUUAGGAACAUGUUUAAGACCUUUUGGAGUUGGUUAGACCAAAAAAAAAAAAAGAAAAAAAAAAAUAUAUUUUGGGGUGUUCGGGCUUCCUGAAGGUAAUACCCGGGUAUUAGGUUUUGGGGCUAGGGUUAAGGUUUAAGGUUUUUGGAAUUAGGGUUAAAAUCACUGUCCAAUACCUUUUAAGGAACUCUUUUCAGACCUUUGGGAGUUAGUUAGACCAAAAAAAAAGAAAAAGAAAAAAAAAUAUUUGGGGUGUUCGGGCUUCCUGAAGGUAAUAGGUUUUGGGGCUAGGUAAGGUUUAAGGUUUUUGGCGUUAGGGUUAAAAUCACUGUCCAAAACCUUUGUAAGGAACUCUUUUCCAACCUUUUGGAGUUAGUUAGACCAAAAAAAAAGAAAAAUGAAAAAAAAAAUAUUUGGGGUUUUUGGGCCUCCUGAAGGUAAUACCCGGGUAUUAGGUUAUGGGGCUAUAGUAAGGUUUAAGGUUUUUGGCGUGAGGGUUAAAAUCACUGUCCAAAACCUUUGUAGGAACUAUUUCCAACCUUUUGGAGUUAGUUAGACCAAAAUAAAACGAAAAAUGAAAAAAAAUAUUUGGGGUUUUCGGGCUUCCUGAAGGUAAUAAGGUUUAAGGUUUUUGGCGUUAGGGUUAAAAUCACUGUCCAAUAUUUUUUAAGGAACAUGUGUCAGACAUUUGGGAGUUAGUUAGACAAAAAAAAAAAGAAAAAGAGAAAAAAAAAUUUGGGGUGUUCGGGUUCCUGAAGGUAAUACCCGGGUAUUAGGUUAUGGGGCUAGGGUUAAGGUUUAAGGUUUUUGGCGUGAGGGUUAAAAUCACUGUCCAAAACCUUUGUAGGAACUCUUUUCAACCUUUUGGAGUUAGUUAGACCAAAAAAUAAACGAAAAAUGAAAAAAAAAUGUUUGGGGUGUUCGGUCUUCCUGAAGGUAAUACUAGAUUUCUGGGGCUAGGGUAAGGUUUAAGGUUUUUGGCGUUAGGGUUAAAAUCACUGUCCAAAACCUUUGUAGGAACUCUUUUCAACCUUUGGAGUUAGUUAGACCAAAAAAAAAAGAAAAAAUAUAAAUUUGGGGUGUUCGGGCUUCCUGAAGGUAAUACCCGGGUAUUAGGUUAUGGGGCUAGGGUAAGGUUUAAGGUUUUUGGCGUUAGGGUUAAAAUCCCUGUCCAAAACCUUUGUAGGAACUCUUUUCCAACCUUUUAUGAGUUAGUUACACCAAAAAUAAACGAAAAAUGAAAAAAAAAAAUUUGGGGUGUUCGGCCUUCCUGAAGGUAAUACCCCGGUAUUAGGUUUUGGGGCUAGGGUAAGGUUUAAGGUUUUUGGCGUGAGGGUUAAAAUCACUGUCCAAAACCUUUGUAGGACCUCUUUUCCAACCUUUUGGUGUUAGUUAGACAAAAAAAAAAACGAAAAAUGAAAAAAAAAUAUUUGGGGUUUUUGGGCCUCCUGAAGGUAAUACCCGGGUAUUAGGUUAUGGGGCUAGGGUAAGGUUUAAGGUUUUUGGCGUUAGGGUUAAAAUCACUGUCCAAAACCUUUGUAGGAACUCUUUUCCAACCUUUUGGAGUUAGUUACACCAAAAAAAAAAUUGUAAAAUGAAAAAGAAAUAUUUGGGGUGUUUGGGCUUCCUGAAGGUAAUACCCUGGUAUUAGGUUAUGGGGCUAGGGUAAGGUUUAAGGUUUUUGGCGUGAGGGUUAAAAUCCCUGUCCAAAACCUUUGUAGGAACUCUUUUCCAACCUUUUGGAGUUAGUUACACCAAAAAUAAACGAAAAAUGAAAAAAAAAUAUUUGGGGUGUUCGGUCUUCCUGAAGGUAAUACCCGAUUAUGGGGCUAGGGAAAGGUUUAAGGUUUUUGGCGUUAGGGUUAAAAUCACUGUCCAAAACCUUUGUAGGAACAUAUUUCAGACGUUAUGGAGUUAGUAACACCAAAAAAAAAAGAUGUAAAAUGAAAAAAAAUAUUUGGGGUGUUCGGGCUUCCUGAAGGUAAUUAGGUAUUGGUAAUCAGGCUAGGGUCAGGUUUAAGGUUUUUGGCGUGAGGGUUAAAAUCACUGUCCAAAACCUUUGUAGGAACUCUUUUCAACCUUUUGGAGUUAGUUACACCAAAAAAAAACGUAAAAUGAAAAAAAAAUUUGGGGUGUUCGGCUUCCUGAAGGUAAUACGAUUUAUGGGGCUAGGGAAAGGUUUAAGGUUUUUGGCGUUAGGGUUAAAAUCACUGUCCAAAACCUUUUAGGAACAUGUUUCAGACCUUUUGGAGUUAGUUACACCAAAAAAAAAUUGAAAAAUGAAAAAAAAUAUUUGGGGUGUUUGGGCUUCCUGAAGGUAAUACCCGGGUAUAAGGUUAUGGGGCUAGGGUAAGGUUUAAGGUUUUUGGCGUUAGGGUUAAAAUCACUGUCCAAAACCUUUGUAGGAACUCUUUUCCAACCUUUUGGAGUUAGUUAGACCAAAAAAAAAUUGAAAAAUGAAAAAGAAAUAUUUGGGGUGUUCGGGCUUCCUGAAGGUUAUACCCUGGUAUAAGGUUAUGGGGCUAGGGUAAGGUUUAAGGUUUUUGGCGUGAGGGUUAAAAUCACUGUCCAAAACCUUUUUAGGAACAUGUUUCAGACCUUUUGGAGUUAGUUACACCAAAAAAAAGAAAAAUGAAAAAAAAAUAUUUGGGGUGUUCGGGCUUCCUGAAGGUAAUACCGUAUUAGAUUAUGGGGCUAGGGAAAGGUUUAAUGUUUUUGGCGUUAGGGUUAAAAUCACUGUCCAAAACCUUUUAGGAACAUAUUUCAACCUUUUGGAGUUAGUUAGACCAAAAAAAAAGAUGUAAAAUGAAAAAAAAUAUUUGGGGUGUUCGGGCUUCCUGAAGGUAAUACCCAGGUAUUAGGUUAUGGGGCUAGGGUAAGGUUUAAGGUUUUUGGCGUGAGGGUUAAAAUCACUGUCCAAAACCUUUGUAGGAACUCUUUUCCAACCUUUUGGAGUUAAUUAGACCAAAAAAAAAAAGAACAAAGAAAAAAAAAUUGGGGGUUUUCGGGCUUCCUGCAGGUAAUACCCGGGUAUUUGGUUAUGGGGCUAUGGUAAGGUUUAAGGUUUUGGCGUUAGGGUUAAAAUCACUGUCCAAAACCUUUGUAGGAACAUAUUUCAGACCUUUUGGAGUUAGUUACACCAAAAAAAAAAGAUGUAAAAUGAAAAAAAAUAUUUGGGGUGUUCGGGCUUCCUGAAGGUAAUACCCAGGUAUCAGGGUAAUCAGGCUAGGGUAAGGUUUAAGGUUUUUGGCGUGAGGGUUAAAAUCACCUGUCCAAAACCUUUGUAGGAACUCUUUUCCAACCUUUUGGAGUUAGUUAGACCAAAAAAAAAACGAAAAAUGAAAAAAAAAAUUUGGGGUGUUCGGCUUCCUGAAGGUAAUACCCGGGUAUUAGGUUUUGGGGCUAGGGUAAGGUUUAAGGUUUUUGGCGUUAGGGUUAAAAUCACUGUCCAAAACCUUUGUAGGAACUCUUUUCCAACCUUUUGGAGUUAGUUAGACAAAAAAAAAAAAAAAAUGAAAAAAAAUAUUUUGGGGUGUUCGGGCUUCCUGAAGGUAAUACCCGGGUAUCAGGUUUUGGGGCUAGGGAAAGGUUUAAGGUUUUUGGCGUGAGGGUUAAAAUCACUGUCCAAAACCUUUGUAGGAACUCUUUUCCAACCUUUUGGAGUUAGUUACACCAAAAAAAAGAAAAAUGAAAAAAAAUAUUUGGGGUGUUCGGGCUUCCUGAAGGUAAUACCCGGUUGUUAGGUUUUGGGGCUAGGGUAAGGUUUAAGGUUUUUGGCGUUAGGGUUAAAAUCACUGUCCAAAACCUUUGUAGGAACUCGUUUCCAACCUUUUGGAGUUAGUUACACCAAAAAAAAAUGAAAAAUAAAAAAAAAUAUUUGGGGUGUUCGGGCUUCCUGAAGGUAAUACCCGGGUAUUAGGUUAUGGGGCUUUGGAAAGGUUUAAGGUUUUUGGCGUUAGGGUUAAAAUCACUGUCCAAAACCUUUUUAGGAACUUGUUUCAGACCUUUUGGAGUUAGUUACACCAAAAAAAAAAAAAAAAUGAAAAAAAAAUAUUUGGGGUGUUCGGGCUUCCUGAAGGUAAUACCCGGGUAUUAGGUUUUGGGGCUAGGGUAAGGUUUAAGGUUUUUGGCGUUAGGGUUAAAAUCACUGUCCAAAACCUUUGUAGAACUCUUUUCCAACCUUUUGGAGUUAGUUACAAAAAAAAAGAAAAAUGAAAAAAAAAUAUUUGGGGUGUUCGGGCUUCCUGAAGGUAAUACCCGGGUAUUAGGUUAUGGGGCUUUGGUAAGGUUUAAGGUUUUUGGCGUUAGGGUUAAAAUCACUGUCCAAAACCUUUGUAGGAACUCUUUUCCAACCUUUUGGAGUUAGUUACACCAAAAAAAAAAAAUGAAAAAAAAUAUUUGGGGUGUUCGGGCUUCCUGAAGGUAAUACCCGGAUAGGUUAUGGGGCUAUGGUAAGGUUUAAGGUUUUUGGCGUUAGGGUUAAAAUCACUGUCCAAAACCUUUAUUGGAACUUUCUUCCAACCUUUUGGAUUUAGUUUGACAAAAAAAAAGAAAAAUAAAAAAUAUAUAUUUGGGGUGUUUGGGCUUCCUGAAGGUAAUACCCCGGUGUUAGGUUUUGGGGCUAGGGUAAGGUUUAAGGUUUUUGGCGUUAGGGUUAAAAUCACUGUCCAAAACCUUUGUAGGAACUCUUUUCCAACCUUUUGGAGUUAGUUAGACCAAAAAAAAAAAAAAAAAAAAAAAAAAAUUGGGGUGUUCGGUCUUCCUGAAGGUAUUAGAUUAUGGGGCUAGGGAAAGGUUUAAUGUUUUUGGCGUUAGGGUUAAAAUCACUGUCCAAAACCUUUUUAGGAACAUGUUUCAGACCUUAUGGAGUUAGUUACACCAAAAAAAAAUGUAAAAUGAAAAAAAAAUAUUUGGGGUGUUCGGGCUUCCUGAAGGUAAUACCCAGGUAUCAGGGUAAUCAAGGCUAGGGUCAGGUUUAAGGUUUUUAGCGUGAGGGUUAAAAUCCCUGUCCAAAACCUUUGUAGGAACUCUUUUCCAACCUUUUGGAGUUAGUUACACCAAAAAUAAACGAAAAAUGAAAAAAAAAAUUUGGGGUGUUCGGUCUUCCUGAAGGUAUUAGAUUAUGGGGCUAGGGUAAGGUUUAAGGUUUUUGGCGUUAGGGUUAAAAUCACUGUCCAAAACCUUUGUAGGACCAUGUUUCAGACCUUUUGGAGUUGGUUACACCAAAAAAAAAAAAGAAAAUGAAAAAAAAAUAUUUGGGGUGUUUCGGGCUUCCUGAAGGUAAUACCCGGGUAUUAGGUUAUGGGGCUAGGGUAAGGUUUAAGGUUUUUGGCGUUAGGUUUAAAAUCACUGUCCAAAACCUUUUUAGGAACAUGUUUCAGACCUUUUGGAGUUAGUUAGACCAAAAAAAAACGAAAAAUGAAAAACAAAUAUUUGGGGUGUUUCGGGCUUCCUGAAGGUUAAUACCCUGGUAUAAGGUUAUGGGGCUAGGGUAAGGUUUAAGGUUUUUGGCGUGAGGGUUAAAAUCACUGUCCAAAACCUUUGUAGGAACUCUUUUCCAACCUUUUGGAGUUAGUUAGACCAAAAAAAAAAAAAAAAUGAAAAAAAAAUAUUUGGGGUGUUCGGGCUUCCUGAAGGUAUUAGGUUAUGGGGCUAGGGAAAGGUUUAAGGUUUUUGGCGUUAGGGUUAAAAUCACUGUCCAAAACCUUUGUAGGAACUCUUUCAGACGUUUUGGAGUUAGUUAGACCAAAAAAAAAGAAAAAUGAAAAAAAAUAUUUGGGGUGUUCGGGCUUCCUGAAGGUAAUACCCAGGUAUCAGGGUUAAUCAGGCUAGGGUCAGGUUUAAGGUUUUUGGCGUGAGGGUUAAAAUCACUGUCCAAAACCUUUGUAGGAACUCUUUUCCAACCUUUUGGAGUUAGUUACACCAAAAAAAAACGAAAAAUGAAAAAAAAAAUAUUUGGGGUGUUCGGCUUCCUGAAGGUAAUACCCGGUAUUAGGUUUUGGGGCUAGGGUAAGGUUUAAGGUUUUUGGCGUUAGGGUUAAAAUCACUGUCCAAAACCUUUUUAGGAACUCUUUUCAACCUUUUGGAGUUAGUUACACCAAAAAAAAAAAUGUAAAAUGAAAAAAAAUAUUUGGGGUGUUCGGGCUUCCUGAAGGUAAUACCCGGGUAUCAGGGUAAUCGGCUAGGGUAAGGUUUAAGGUUUUUGGCGUGAGGGUUAAAAUCACUGUCCAAAACCUUUGUAGGAACUCUUUUCCAACCUUUUGGAGUUAGUUAGACCAAAAAAAAAGAAAAAUGAAAAAAAAAAAUUUGGGGUGUUCGGGCCUUCCUGAAGGUAAUACCCGGGUAUUAGGUUUUGGGGCUAGGGUAAGGUUUAAGGUUUUUGGCGUUAGGGUUAAAAUCACUGUCCAAAACCUUUGUAGGAACUCUUUUCCAACCUUUUGGAGUUAGUUUGACCAAAAAAAAAAGAAAAAUGAAAAUAAAAUAUUUGGGGUGUUCGGGCUUCCUGAAGGUAAUACCCGGGUAUUAGGUUAUGGGGCUAGGGUAAGGUUUAAGGUUUUUGGCGUGAGGGUUAAAAUCACUGUCCAAAACCUUUGUAGGAACUCUUUUCCAACCUUUUGGAAUUAGUUAGACCAAAAAAAACGAAAAAUGAAAAAAAUAUUUGGGGUGUUCGGGCUUCCUGAAGGUAAUACCCGGGUAUUAGGUUUUGGGGCUAGGGUAAGGUUUAAGGUUUUUGGCGUUAGGGUUAAAAUCACUGUCCAAAACCUUUGUAGGAACUCUUUUCCAACCUUUUGGAGUUAGUUAGACCAAAAAAAAAGAAAAAUGAAAAAAAAAUAUUUGGGGUUUUCGGGCUUCCUGAAGGUAAUACCCGGGUAUUAGGUUAUGGGGCUAUGGUAAGGUUUAAGGUUUUUGGCGUUAGGGUUAAAAUCACUGUCCAAAACCUUUUUAGGAACAUGUUUCAGACCUUUUGGAAUUAGUUAGACCAAAAAAUAACGAAAAAUGAAAAAAAAAAAAAAAUUGGGGUGUUCGGCCUUCCUGAAGGUAAUACCCGGGUAUUAGGUUUUGGGGCUAGGGUAAGGUUUAAGGUUUUUGGCGUUAGGGUUAAAAUCACUGUCCAAAACCUUUGUAGGAACUCUUUUCCAACCUUUUGGAGUUAGUUAGACCAAAAAAAAACAAAAAAUGAAAAAAAAAUAUUUGGGGUCUUCGGGCUUCCUGAAGGUAAUACCCGGGUAUUAGGUUAUGGGGCUUUGGUAAGGUUUAAGGUUUUUGGCAUUAGGGUUAAAAUCACUGUCCAAAACCUUUGUAGGAACUCUUUUCCAACCUUUUGGAGUUAGUUACACCAAAAAAAAAAUGAAAAAGAAAAAAAAAUAUUUGGGGUGUUCGGGCUUCCUGAAGGUAAUACCCGGGUAUUAGGUUAUGGGGCUAUAAUAAGGUUUAAGGUUUUUGGCGUGAGGGUUAAAAUCACUGUCCAAAACCUUUGUAGGAACUCUUUUCCAACCUUUUGGAGUUAGUUAGACCAAAAAAAAAAGAAAAAUGAAAAAAAAAAAUAUUUGGGGUUUUCGGGCUUUCUGAAGGUUAUACCCGGGUAUUAGGUUAUGGGGCUAGGGUAAGGUUUAAGGUUUUUGGCGUUAGGGUUAAAAUCACUGUCCAAAACCUUUGUAGGAACUCUUUUCCAACCUUUUGGAGUUAGUUAGACCAAAAAAAAAAAAAAAAAAGAAAAAAAAAUAUACGGGGUGUUCGGGCUUCCUGAAGGUAAUACUAGGUUAUGGGGCUAGGUAAGGUUUAAGGUUUUUGGCGUUAGGGUUAAAAUCACUGUCCAAAACCUUUGUAGGAAUCUUUUCAACCUUUUGGAGUUAGUUACACCAAAAAAAAGAAAAUGAAAAAAAAAUAUUUGGGGUGUUCGGGCUUCCUGAAGGUAAUACCCGGGUAUUAGGUUAUGGGGCUAGGGAAAGGUUUAAGGUUUUUGGCGUUAGGGUUAAAAUCACUGUCCAAAACCUUUUAGGAACAUGUUUCAGACCUUUUGGAGUUAGUUACACCAAAAAAAAUUGUAAAAUGAAAAAAAAUAUUUGGGGUGUUUGGGCUUCCUGAAGGUAAUACCCGGGUAUAAGGUUAUGGGGCUAGGGUAAGGUUUAAGGUUUUUGGCGUUAGGGUUAAAAUCACUGUCCAAAACCUUUGUAGGAACUCUUUUCCAACCUUUUGGAGUUAGUUAGACCAAAAAAAAUGAAAAAUGAAAAAAAAUAUUUGGGGUGUUCGGGCUUCCUGAAGGUAAUACCCGGGUAUUAGGUUUUGGGGCUAGGUUAAGGUUUAAGGUUUUUGGCGUGAGGGUUAAAAUCACUGUCCAAAACCUUUGUAGGAACUCUUUUCCAACCUUUUGGAGUUAGUUACACCAAAAAAAAAAAAAAUGAAAAAAAAUAUUUGGGGUGUUCGGGCUUCCUGAAGGUAAUACCCGGGUAUUAGGUUAUGGGGCUUUGGUAAGGUUUAAGGUUUUUGGCAUUAGGGUUAAAAUCACUGUCCAAAACCUUUGUAGGAACUCUUUUCCAACCUUUUGGAGUUAGUUAGACCAAAAAAAAAGAAAAAUGAAAAAAAAUAUUUGGGGUGUUCGGGCUUCCUGAAGGUAAUACCCGGGUAUUAGGUUAUGGGGCUAGGGUAAGGUUUAAGGUUUUUGGCGUGAGGGUUAAAAUCACUGUCCAAAACCUUUUUAGGAACAUGUUUCAGACCUUUUGGAGUUAGUUAGACCAAAAAAAAACGAAAAAUGGAAAAAAAAUAUUUGGGGUGUUCGGGCUUCCUGAAGGUAAUACCCGGGUAUUAGGUUUUGGGGCUAGGGUAAGGUUUAAGGUUUUUGGCGUGAGGGUUAAAAUCACUGUCCAAAACCUUUGUAGGAACUCUUUUCCAACCUUUUGGAGUUAGUUAGACCAAAAAAAAAAACAAAAAUGAAAAAAAAAUAUUUGGGGUGUUCGGGCUUCCUGAAGGUAAUACCCGGGUAUAAGGUUAUGGGGCUAGGGUUAGGUUUAAGGUUUUUGGCGUUAGGGUUAAAAUCCCUGUCCAAAACCUUUGUAGGAACUCUUUUCCAACCUUUUGGAGUUAGUGAGACCAAAAAAAAAUGAAAAUGAAAAAAAAAUAUUUGGGGUUUUGGGCUUCCUGAAGGUAAUACCCGGGUAUAAGGUUAUGGGGCUAGGGUAAGGUUUAAGGUUUUUGGCGUUAAGGUUAAAAUCACUGUCCAAAACCUUUUUAGGAACAUGUUUCCAACCCUUUGGAGUUAGGUAGACCUAAAAAAAACGAAAAAUGAAAAGAAAUGUUUGGGGUGUUCGGGCUUCCUGAAGGUUAUACCCAGGUAUUAGGUUAUGGGGCUUUGGAAAUGUUUAAGGUUUUUGGCGUUAGGGUUAAAAUCACUGUCCAAAAGCUUUUUAGGAACAUGUUUCAGACCUUUUGGAGUUGGUUACACCAAAAAAAAAUGAAAAAUGAAAAAAACAUAUUUGGGGUGUUCGGGCUUCCUGAAGGUAAUACCCGGGUAUUAGGUUAUGGGGCUUUGGAAACAUUUAAGGUUUUUGGCAUUAGGGUUAAAAUCACUGUCAAAAACCUUUGUAGGAACUCUUUUCCAACCUUUUGGAGUUAGUUAGACCAAAAAAAAUAAAAAUAAAAAAUAUAUAUUUGGGGUGUUCGGGCUUCCUGAAGGUAAUACCCGGGUAUUAGGUUAUGGGGCUAGGGUAAGGUUUAAGGUUUUUGGCGUGAGGGUAAAAAUCACUGUCCAAAACCUUUGUAGGAACUCUUUUCCAACCUUUUGGAGUUAAUUAGACCAAAAAAAAAGAACAAAGAAAAAAAAAAUUGGGGGUUUUCGGGCUUCCUGAAGGUAAUACCCGGGUAUUUGGUUAUGGGGCUAUGGUUAGGUUUAAGGUUUUUGGCGUUAGGGUUAAAAUCACUGUCCAAAACCUUUGUAGGAACUCUGUUCCAACCUUUUUGAGUUAUUUAGACCAAAAAAAAAUGAAAAAUAAAAAAAUUUUUAUUCGGUUUUUCAGGCUUCCUGGAGGUAAUACCUUAGCCAUUAGGUCAUGGGGCUAUGGUAAGGUUUAAGGUUUUUGGCGUAAGGGUUAAAAUCACCAUCCAAAACCUUUGUAGAAACUCUUUUCCAACCUUUUGGAGUGAGUUAGACCAAAAAAAAAUGAAAAAUGAAAAAAACAUAUUUGGGGUGUUCAGGCUUCCUGAAGGUAAUAACCGGGUAUUAGGUAAUGGGGCUAGGGUAAGGUUUAAGGUUUUUGGCGUUAGGGUUAAAAUCACUGUCCAAAACCUUUAUUGGAACUUUCUUCCAACCUUUUGGAUUUAGUUUGACAAAAAAAAAAGAAAAAUAAAAAAUAUAUAUUUGGGGUGUUUGGGCUUCCUGAAGGUAAUACCCCGGUGUUAGGUUUUGGGGCUCGGGUAAGGUUUAAGGUUUUUGGCGUUAGGGUUAAAAUCACUGUCCAAAACCUUUAUUGGAACUUUCUUCCAACCUUUUGGAUUUAGUUUGACAAAAAAAAAGAAAAAUAAAAAAUAUAUAUUUGGGGUGUUUGGGCUUCCUGAAGGUAAUACCCCGGUGUUAGGUUUUGGGGCUCGGGUAAGGUUUAAGGUUUUUGGCGUUAGGGUUAAAAUCACUGUCCAAAACCUUUGUAGGAACUCGUUUCCAACCUUUUGGAGUUAGUUACACCAAAAAAAAAUGAAAAAGAAAAAAAAAUAUUUGGGGUGUUCGGGCUUCCUGAAGGUAAUACCCGGGUAUAGGGUUUUGGGGCCAGGGUAAGGUUGAAGGUUUUUGGCGUUAGGGUUAAAAUCACUGUCCAAAACCUUUUUAGGAACAUGUUUGAGACCUUUUGGAGUUAGUUUGACUAAAAAAAAACGAAAAAUGAAAAAAAAAUAUUUGGGGUGUUCGGGCUUCCUUAUUAGUAUUAGGUUAUGGGGCUAGGGUAAGGUUUAAGGUUUUUGGCGUUAGGGUUAAAAUCACUGUCCAAAACCUUUGUAAGAACUCUUUUCCAACGUUUUGGAGUUAGUUAGUCCAAAAAAAAAUGAAAAAUGAAAAAAAAAUAUUUGGGGUGUUCGGGCUUCCUUAUUAGUAUUAGGUUAUGGGGCUUUGGAAAGGUUUAAGGUUUUUGGCGUUAGGGUUAAAAUCACUGUCCAAAACCUUUGCAGGAACAUGUUUCAGACCUUUUGGAGUUGGUUACAAAAAAAAAAAGUAAAAUGAAAAAAAAUAUCUGGGGUGUUCGGGCUUCCUGAAGGUAAUACCCUGGUAUUAGGUUAUGGGGCUAUGGUAAGGUUUAAGGUUUUUGGCGUUAGGGUUAAAAUCACUGUCCAAAACCUUUAUUGGAACUUUCUUCCAACCUUUUGGAUUUAGUUUGACAAAAAAAAAGAAAAAUAAAAAAUAUAUAUUUGGGGUGUUUGGGCUUCCUGAAGGUAAUACCCCGGUGUUGGGUUUUGGGGCUCGGGUAAGGUUUAAGGUUUUUGGCGUUAGGGUUAAAAUCACUGUCCAAAAUCUUUGUAGGAACUCGUUUCCAACCUUUUGGAGUUAGUUACACCAAAAAAAAAUGAAAAAGAAAAAAAAAUAUUUGGGGUGUUCGGGAUUCCUGAAGGUAAUACCCGGGUAUAGGGUUUUGGGGCCAGGGUAAGGUUGAAGGUUUUUGGCGUUAGGGUUAAAAUCACUGUCCAAAACCUUUUUAGGAACAUGUUUGAGACCUUUUGGAGUUAGUUUGACUAAAAAAUAACGAAAAAUGAAAAAAAAAUAUUUGGGGUGUUCGGGCUUCCUUUUUAGUAUUAGGUUAUGGGGCUAGGGUAAGGUUUAAGGUUUUUGGCGUUAGGGUUAAAAUCACUGUCCAAAACCUUUGUAAGAACUCUUUUCCAAUGUUUUGGAGUUAGUUAGUCCAAAAAAAAUGAAAAAUGAAAAAAAAAUAUUUGGGGUGUUCGGGCUUCCUUAUUAGUAUUAGGUUAUGGGGCUUUGGAAAGGUUUAAGGUUUUUGGCGUUAGGGUUAAAAUCACUGUCCAAAACCUUUGUAGGAACAUGUUUCAGACCUUUUGGAGUUGGUUACAAAAAAAAAAAAGUAAAAUGAAAAAAAAAUAUCUGGGGUGUUCGGGCUUCCUGAAGGUAAUACCCUGGUAUUAGGUUAUGGGGCUAUGGUAAGGUUUAAGGUUUUUGGCGUUAGAGUUAAAAUCAGUGUCCAAAACCUUUUUAGGAACAUGUUUCAGACCUUUUGGAAUUAGUUAGACCAAAAAAAAACCAAAAAUGAAAAAAAAAUAUUUGGGGUCUUCGGGCUUCCUGAAGGUAAUACCCGGGUAUUAGGUUAUGGGGCUAGGGUAAGGUUUAAGGUUUUUGGCAUUAGGGUUAAAAGCACUGUCCAAAACCUUUGUAGGAACUCUUUUCCAACCUUUUAGAGUUAGCUAGACCAAAAAAAAAAAUGAAAAAUGAAAAAAAAAUAUUUGGGGUGUUUGGGCUUCCUUAUUAGUAUUAGGUUAUGGGGCUAGGGUAAGGUUUAAGGUUUUUGGCGUUAGGGUUAAAAUCACUGUCCAAAACCUUUGUAAGAACUCUUUUCCAACGUUUUGGAGUUAGUUAGUCCAAAAAAAAAUGAAAAAUGAAAAAAAAAUAUUUGGGGUGUUCGGGCUUCCUUAUUAGUAUUAGGUUAUGGGGCUUUGGAAAGGUUUAAGGUUUUUGGCGUUAGGGUUAAAAUCACUGUCCAAAACCUUUGUAGGAACAUGUUUCAGACCUUUUGGAGUUGGUUACAAAAAAAAAAGUAAAAUGAAAAAAAAAUAUUUGGGGUGUUCCGGCUUCCUGAAGGUAAUACCCUGGUAUUAGGUUAUGGGGCUAUGGUAAGGUUUAAGGUUUUUGGCGUUAGAGUUAAAAUUAGUGUCCAAAACCUUUUUAGGAACUCUUUUCCAACCUUUUGGAGUUAGUUAGACCAAAAAAAAUUAAAAUGAAAAAAAAAUAUUUGGGGUGUUCGGGAUUCCUGAAGGUAAUACCCGGGUAUCAGGUUUUGGGGCUAGGUUAAGGUUUAAGGUUUUUGGCGUGAGGGUUAAAAUCACUGUCCAAAACCUUUGUAGGAACUCUUUUCCAACCUUUUGGAAUUAGUUAGACCAAAAAAAAAUAAAAAAUGAAAAAAAAAUAUUUGUGUUUUCGGGCCUCCUGAAGGGAAAACCCGGGUAUAAGGUUUUGGGGCUAGGAUAAGGUUUAAGGUUUUUGGCGUUAGGGUUAAAAUCACUGUCCAAAACCUUUAUAAGAACUCUUUUCCAACCUUUUGGAUUUAGUUUGACCAAAAAAAAAAGAAAAAUGAAAAUAAAAUAUUUGGGGUGUUCGGGCUUCCUGAAGGUAAUACCCGGGUAUUAGGUUAUGGGGCUAGGGUAAGGUUUAAGGUUUUUGGCGUGAGGGUUAAAAUCACUGUCCAAAACCUUUUUAGGAACAUGUUUCAGACCUUUUGGAAUUAGUUAGACCAAAAAAAACGAAAAAUGGAAAAAAAAUAUUUGGGGUCUUCGGGCUUCCUGAAGGUAAUACCCGGGUAUUAGGUUUUGGGGCUAGGGUAAGGUUUAAGUUUUUUGGCGUGAGGGUUAAAAUCACUGUCCAAAACCUUUGUAGGAACUCUUUUCCAACCCUUUCGGAGUUAGUUAGACCAAAAAAAAACGAAAAAUGAAAAAAAAAUAUUUGGGGUUUUCGGGCUUCCUGAAGGUAAUACCCGGGUAUUAGGUUAUGGGGCUAGGGUAAGGUUUAAGGUUUUUGGCUUUAGAGUUAAAAUUACUGUCCAAAACCUUUUUAGGAACAUGUUUCAGACCUUUGGAAUUAGUUAGACCAAAAAAUAACGAAAAAUGAAAAAAAAAAAAUUGGGGUGUUCGGCCUUCCUGAAGGUAAUACCCCGGUAUUAGGUUUUGGGGCUAGGGUAAGGUUUAAGGUUUUUGGCGUUAGGGUUAAAAUCACUGUCCAAAACCUUUGUAGGAACUCUUUUCCAACCUUUUGGAGUUAGUUAGACCAAAAAAAAACCAAAAAUGAAAAAAAAAUAUUUGGGGUCUUCGGGCUUCCUGAAGGUAAUACCCGGGUAUUGGGUUUUGGGGCUAGGGUAAAGUUAAAGGUUUUUGGCGUUAGGGUUAAAAUCACUGUCCAAAACGUUUAAAGGAACUCUUUUCCAAUCUUUUGGAUUUAGUUUGACCAAAAUAGAAAAGAAAAAGAAAAAAAAAAUAUUUGGGGUGUUCUGGCUUCCUGAAGGUAAUACCCGGGUAUUAGGUUAUGGGGCUAUAAUAAGGUUUAAGGUUUUUGGCGUGAGGGUUAAAAUCAGUGUCCAAAACCUUUGUAGGAACUCUUUUCCAACCCUUUCGGAGUUAGUUAGACCAAAAAAAAAAGAAAAAAGAAAAAAAAAUGUUUGGGGUGUUCGGUCUUCCUGAAGGUAAUACCUGGGUAUUAGGUUAUGGGGCUAGGGUAAGGUUUAAGGUUUUUGGCGUUAGGGUUAAAAUCACUGUCCAAAACCUUUGUAGGAACUCUUUUCCAACCUUUUGGAGUUAGUUAGACCAAAAAAAAUGAAAAAGGAAAAAAAAAUAUUUGGGGUGUUCGGGCUUCCUGAAGGUAAUACCUUCAGGAGUAUUAGAUUAUGGGGCUUUGGUAUGGUUUAAGGUUUUUGGCAUUAGGGUUAAAAUCACUGUCCAAAACCUGUGUAGGAACUCUUUUCCAACCUUUUGGAGUUAGUUAGACCUAAAAAAAAAGAAAAAUGAAAAAAAAAUAUUUGGGGUGUUCGGGCUUCCUGAAGGUAUUAGAUUAUGGGGCUAGGGAAAGGUUUAAUGUUUUUGGCGUUAGGGUUAAAAUCACUGUCCAAAAUCUUUUUAGGAACAUGUUUCAGACCUUUUGGAGUUAGUUACACCAAAAAAAAAUUGUAAAAUGAAAAAGAAAUAUUUGGGGUGUUUGGGCUUCCUGAAGGUAAUACCCGGGUAUAAGGUUAUCUGGCUAGGGUAAGGUUUAAGGUUUUUGGUGUUAGGGUUAAAAUCACUGUCCAAAACCUUUGUAGGAACUCUUUUCCAACCUUUUGGAGUUAGUUAGACCAAAAAAAAUGAAAAAUGGAAAAAAAAUAUUUAGGGUCUUCGGGCUUCCUGAAGGUAAUACCCGGGUAUUAGGUUUUGGGGCUAGGUUAAGGUUUAAGGUUUUUGGCGUGAGGGUUAAAAUCACUGUGCAAAACCUUUGAAGGAACUCUUUUCCAACCUUUUGGAAUUAGUUAGACCAAAAAAAAAUAAAAAAUGAAAAAAAAAUAUUUGUGGUUUUCGGGCCUCCUGAAGGUAAUACCCGGGUAUAAGGUUUUGGGGCUAGGUUAAGGUUUAAGGUUUUUGGCGUUAGGGUUAAAAUCACUGUCCAAAACCUUUAUAAGAACUCUUUUCCAACCUUUUGGAUUUAGUUUGACCAAAAAAAAAGAAAAAUGAAGAUAAAAUAUUUGGGGUGUUCGGGCUUCCUGAAGGUAAUACCCGGGUAUUAGGUUAUGGGGCUAGGGUAAGGUUUAAGGUUUUUGGCGUGAGGGUUAAAAUCACUGUCCAAAACCUUUUUAGGAACAUGUUUCAGACCUUUUGGAAUUAGUUAGACCAAAAAAAAACGAAAAAUGGAAAAAAAAUAUUUGGGGUCUUCGGGCUUCCUGAAGGUAAUACCCGGGUAUUAGGUUUUGGGGCUAGGGUAAGGUUUAAGUUUUUUGGCGUGAGGGUUAAAAUCACUGUCCAAAACCUUUGUAGGAACUCUUUUCCAACCUUUUGGAGUUAGUUAGACCAAAAAAAAAACAAAAAUGAAAAAAAAAUAUUUGGGGUCUUCGGGCUUCCUGAAGGUAAUACCUGGGUAUUAGGUUAUGGGGCUAGGGUAAGGUUUAAGGUUUUUGGCGUUAGGGUUAAAAUCACUGUCCAAAACCUUUGUUGGAACUCUUUUCCAACCUUUUGGAGUUAGUUAGAACAAAAAAAAUGAAAAAUGAAAAAAAAAUAUUUGGGGUGUUCGGGCUUCCUGAAGGUAAUACCCGGGUAUUAGGUUUUGGGGCUAGGGUAAGGUUUAAGUUUUUUGGCGUGAGGGUUAAAAUCACUGUCCAAAACCUUUGUAGGAACUCUUUUCCAACCCUUUCGGAGUUAGUUAGACCAAAAAAAAACGAAAAAUGAAAAAAAAAUAUUUGGGGUUUUCGGGCUUCCUGAAGGUAAUACCCGGGUAUUAGGUUUUGGGGCUAGGGUAAGGUUUAAGUUUUUUGGCUCGAGGGUUAAAAUCACUGUCCAAAACCUGUGUAGGAACUCUUUUCCAACCUUUUGGAGUUAGUUAGACCUAAAAAAAAAAGAAAAAUGAAAAAAAAAUAUUUGGGGUGUUCGGGCUUCCUGAAGGUAAUACCCCGGUAUUAGGUUUUGGGGCUAGGGUAAGGUUUAAGUUUUUUGGCGUGAGGGUUAAAAUCACUGUCCAAAACCUUUGUAGGAACUCUUUUCCAACCCUUUCGGAGUUAGUUAGACCAAAAAAAAAACGAAAAAUGAAAAAAAAAUAUUUGGGGUUUUCGGGCUUCCUGAAGGUAAUACCCGGGUAUUACGUUUUGGGGCUAGGGAAAGGUUUAAGUUUUUUGGCGUGAGGGUUAAAAUCACUGUCCAAAACCUUUGUAGGAACUCUUUUCCAACCUUUUGGAGUUAGUUAGACCAAAAAAAAAAUUAAAAAAAAAAAAAAAUUGGGGGUUUUCGGGCUUCCUGAAGGUAAUACCCGGGUAUUAGGUUAUGGGGCUAGGGUAAGGUUUAAGGUUUUUGGCGUAGGGUUAAAAUCACUGUCCAAAACCUUUGUAGGAACUCUUUUCCAACCUUUUGGAGUUAGUUAGACCAAAAAAAAAGAAAAAGAAAAAAAAUAGUUGGGGUUUCGCGCUUCCUGAAGGUAAUACCCGGGUAUUAGGUUAUGGGGCUAGGGUAAGGUUUAAGGUUUUUGGCGUUAGGGUUAAAAUCACUGUCCAAAACCUUUGUAGGAACUCUUUUCCAACCUUUUGGAGUUAGUUAGACCAAAAAAAAAGAAAAAUGAAAAAAAAUAUUUGUGGGUUUUCGGGCUUCCUGAAGGUAAUACUUUAUUAGUUUUUAUAGGUAUUAGUAUGGUUUGGGGCUAGGGUAAGGUUUAAGGUUUUUGGCGUUAGGGUUAAAAUCACUGUCCAAAACCUUUGUAGGAACUCUUUUCCAACCUUUUGGAGUUAGUUAGACCAAAAAAAAAAACGAAAAAUGAAAUAAAUUUUUUUUGGGGUGUAAAGGCUUCCUGAAGGUAAUACCCUUGUAUUAGGUUAUGGGGCUAGGGUAAGGUUUAAGGUUUUUGGCGUUAGGGUUAAAAUCACUGUCCAAAACCUUUGUAGGAACUCUUUUCCAACCUUUUGGAGUUAGUUAGACCAAAAAAAAAUGAAAAAUGAAAAAAAAAUAUUUGUGGUUUUCGGGCUUCCUGAAGGUAAUACCCGGGUAUCAGGUUUUGGGGCUAGGUUAAGGUUUAAGGUUUUUGGCGUGAGGGUUAAAAUCACUGUCCAAAACCUUUGUAGGAACUCUUUUCCAACCUUUUGGAGUUAGUUAGACCAAAAAAAAAUGAUUAAUUAAAAAAAAAAAUAUUUGGGGUGUUCGGGCUUCCUUAUUAGUAUUAGUUUAUGGGGCUUUGGAAAGGUUUAAGGUUUUUGGCAUUAGGGUUAAAAUCACUGUCCAAAACCUUUGUAAGAAUUCUUUUCCAAACAUUUUGGAGUAAGUUAGACCAAAAAAAAAAAAAAAUGAAAAAGGAAAAAAAAAUUGGGGGUUUUCGGGCUUCCUGAAGGUAAUACCCGGGUAUUAGGUUAUGAGGCUUUGGAAAGGUUUAAGGUUUUUGGCGUUAGGGUUAAAAUCACUGUCCAAAACCUUUGUAGGAACUCUUUUCCAACCUUUUGGAGUUAGUUAGACCAAAAAAAACGAAAAAUGAAAUAAAUUUUUUUUGGGGUGUAAAGGCUUCCUGAAGGUAAUACCCUUGUAUUAGGUUAUGGGGCUAGGGUAAGGUUUAAGGUUUUUUGGCGUAAGUGUUAAAAUUGCUGUCCAAAACCUUUGUAAGAACUCUUUUCCAACCUUUUGGAGUAAGUUAGACCAAAAAAAAAUGAAAAAUAAAAAAAAAAAUGUGUGGUUUUCGCGCCUCCUGAAGGUAAUACCCGGGUAUCAUGUUUUGGGGCCAGGUUAAGGUUUAAGGUUUUUGGCGUUAGGGUUAAAAUCACUGUCCAAAACCUUUAUACGAACUCUUUUCCAACCUUUUGGAUUUAGUUAGACCAAAAAAAAACGAAAAAUGAAAAAAAAAUAUUUGGGGUUUUCGGGCUUCCUGAAGGUAAUACCCAGGUAUUAGGUUAUGGGGCUAGGGUAAGGUUCAAGGUUUUUGGCGUUAGAGUUAAAAUCACUGUCCAAAACCUUUGUAGGAACUCUUUUCCAACCUUUUGGAGUUAGUUAGACCAAAAAAAACAAAAAAUGAAAAAAAAAAAAAAUUGUGGGUGUUCGGGCCUUCCUGAAGGUAAUACCCGGUAUUAGGUUUUGGGGCUAGGGUAAGGUUUAAGGUUUUUGGCGUUAGGGUUAAAAUCACUGUCCAAAACCUUUGUAGGAACUCUUUUCCAACCUUUUGGAGUUAGUUAGACCAAAAAAAAAACAAAAAAUGAAAAAAAAAUAUUUGGGGUCUUCGGGCUUCCUGAAGGUAAUACCCGGGUAUUAGGUUUUGGGGCUAGGGUAAGGUUUAAGGUUUUUGGCGUUAGGGUUAAAAUCACUGUCCAAAACCUUUGUAGGAACUCUUUUCCAACCUUUUGGAGUUAGUUAGACCAAAAAAAAAUGAUUAAUUAAAAAAAAUAUAUUUGGGGUGUUCGGGCUUCCUUAUUACCGUAUUAGUUUAUGGGGCUUUGGAAAGGUUUAAGGUUUUUGGCAUUAGGGUUAAAAUCACUGUCCAAAACCUUUGUAGGAACUCUUUUCCAACCUUUUGGAGUUAGUUAGACCAAAAAAAAAAUGAAAAAGAAAAAAAAAAAUUUGGGGGUUUUCGGGCUUCCUGAAGGUAAUACCCGGGUAUUAGGUUAUGGGGCUUUGGUAAGGUUUAAGGUUUUUGGCGUUAGGGUUAAAAUCACUGUCCAAAACCUUUGUAGGAACUCUUUUCCAACCUUUUGGAGUUAGUUUGACCAAAAAAAAAAAAAUGAAAAAAAUUUUUUUUGGGGUGUUCGGCUUCCUGAAGGUAAUACCCUUGUAUUAGGUUAUGGGGCUAGGGUAAGGUUUAAGGUUUUUGGCGUUAGGGUUAAAAUCACUGUCCAAAACCUUUGUAGGAACUCGUUUCCAACCUUUUGGAGUUAGUUAGACCAAAAAAAAAAAAAUGAAAAAAAUUUUUUUUGGGGUGUAAAGGCUUCCUGAAGGUAAUACCCUUGUAUUAGGUUAUGGGGCUAGGGUAAGGUUUAAGGUUUUUGGCGUUAGGGUUAAAAUCACUGUCCAAAACCUUUGUAGGAACUCUUUCCAACCUUUUGGAGUUAGUUAGACCAAAAAAAAAUGAAAAAUGAAAAAAAAAUAUUUGGGUUGUUCGGGCUUCCUGAAGGUAAUUCAUGUAUUAGGUUAUGGGUUUAGGGUAAGGUUUAAGGUUUUUGGCGUUUGGGUUAAAAUCACUGUCCAAAACCUUUGUAGGAACUCGUUUCCAACCUUUUGGAGUUAGUUACCAAAAAAAAAUGAAAAAUGAAAAAAAUAUAUUUGGGUUGUUUGGCUUCCUGAAGGUAAUACCCGGGUAUUAGGUUAUGGGGCUAGGGUAAGGUUUAAGGUUUUUGGCGUUAGGGUUAAAAUCACUGUCCAAAACCUUUGUAGGAACUCUUUUCCAACCUUUUGGAGUUAGUUAGACCAAAAAAAAAGAUUAAAGAAAAAAAAUAUUUGGGGAUUUCGCGCUUCCUGAAGGUAAUACCCGGGUAUUAGGUUAUGGGGCUAUGGUAAGGUUUAAGGUUUUUAGUGUUAGGGUUAAAAUCACUGUCCAAAACCUUUGUAGGAACUCUUUUCCAACCUUUUGGAGUUAGUUAGACAAGAAAAAAAGGAAAAAUGAAAAAACAAUAUUUGGGGUUUUCGGGCUUCCUGAAGGUAAUACCCGGGUAUUAGGUUUUGGGGCUAGGGUAAGGUUUAAGGUUUUUGGCGUUAGGGUUAAAAUCACUGUCCAAAACCUUUUUAGGAACAUGUUUCAGGACUUUUUGGAGUUAGUUAGACCAAAAAAAAAAAAAAAAAAUAAAAUAAAAUUUUUUGGGGGUGGUAGGGCUUCCUUUAGGUAAUAACCGGGUAUUAGGUUUUGGGGCUAGGGUAAGGUUUAAGGUUUUUGGCGUUAGGGUUAAAAUCACUGUCCAAAACCUUUGUAGGAACUCUUUUCCAACCUUUUCGGAGUUAGUUAGACCAAAAAAAAACGAAAAAUGAAAAAAAAAUAUUUGGGGUUUUCGGGCUUCCUGAAGGUAAUACCCGGGUAUUAGGUUAUGGGCUAGGGUAAGGUUUAAGGUUUUUGGCGUUAGAGUUAAAAUCACUGUCCAAAACCUUUUAGGAACAUGUUUCAACCUUUUGGAAUUAGUUAGACCAAAAAAUAAAGAAAAAUGAAAAAAAAAAAAUUGGGGUGUUCGGCCUUCCUGAAGGUAAUACCCCGGUAUUAGGUUUUGGGGCUAGGGUAAGGUUUAAGGUUUUUGGCGUUAGGGUUAAAAUCACUGUCCAAAACCUUUGUAGGAACUCUUUUCCAACCUUUUGGAGUUAUUUAGACCAAAAAAAAACCAAAAAUGAAAAAAAAAUAUUUGGGGUCUUCGGGGUUCCUGAAGGUAAUACCCGGGUAUUAGGUUUUGGGGCUAGGGUAAGGUUUAAGGUUUUUGGCGUUAGGGUUAAAAUCACUGUCCAAAACCUUUGUAGGAACUCUUUUCCAACCUUUUGGAGUUAGUUAGACCAAAAAAAAAUGAUUAAUUAAAAAAAAUAUAUUUGGGGUGUUCGGGCUUCCUUAUUAGUAUCAGUUUAUGGGGCUUUGGAAAGGUUUAAGGUUUUUGGCGUUAGGGUUAAAAUCACUGUCCAAAACCUUUGUAGUAACUCUUUUCCAACCUUUUGGAGUUAGUUAGACUAAAAAAAAAAAUGAAAAAAAAAAAAAAAAUGUUUGGGUUGUUAAGGCUUCCUUAAGGUAAUACCCGGGUAUUAAGUUACGGGGCUCGGGUAAGGUUUAAGGUUUUUGGCGUGAGGGUUAAAAUCACUGUCCAAAACCUUUGUAGGAACUCUUUUCCAACCUUUUGGAGUUAGUUAGACCAAAAAAAUGAUAAAAGAAAAAAAAAUAGUUGGGGAUUUCGCGCUUCCUGAAGGUAAUACCCGGUAUUAGGUUAUGGGGCUAUGGUAAGGUUUAAGGUUUUUGGUGUUAGGGUUAAAAUCACUGUCCAAAACCUUUGUAGGAACUCUUUUCCAACCUUUUGGAGUUAGUUAGACAAGAAAAAAAGGAAAAAUGAAAAAACAAUAUUUGGGGUUUUCGGGCUUCCUGAAGGUAAUACCCGGGUAUUAGGUUUUGGGGCUAGGGUAAGGUUGAAGGUUUUUGGCGUUAGGGUUAAAAUCACUGUCCAAAACCUUUUAGGAACAUGUUUCAGGACUUUUGGAGUUAGUUAGACCAAAAAAAACCAAAAAAUAAUAAUAAAAUUUUUUUGGGGUGGUUCGGGCUUCCUUAAGGUUAUAACUGGGUAUUCGGUUACAGGGCUAGGUAAAGGUUAAAGGUUUUUGGCGUUAGGGUUAAAGUCACUGUCCAAAACCUUUGUAGGAACUCUUUUCCAACCUUUCGGAGUUAGUUAGACCAAAAAAAAAAACGAAAAAAGAAAAAAAAUGUUUGGGUUGUUAAGGCUUCCUUAAGGUAAUACCCGGGUAUUAAGUUAUGGGGCUCGGGUAAGGUUUAAGGUUUUUGGCGUUAGGGUUAAAAUCACUGUCCAAAACCUUUGUAGGAACUCUUUUCCAACCUUUUGGAGUUAGUUAGACCAAAAAAAAGUGAAAAAUAAAAAAAAAUAUUUGGGGUGUUCGGGCUUCCUGAAGGUAAUACACGGGUAUUAGGUUUUGGGGCCAGGGUAAGGUUGAAGGUUUUUGGCGUUAGGGUUAAAAUCACUGUCCAAAACCUUUUUAGGAACAUGUUUCAGACCUUUUGGAGUUAGUUAGACCAAAAAAUAAAGAAAAAUGAAAAAAAAAAAAUUGGGGGUGUUCGGCCUUCCUGAAGGUAAUACCCCGGUAUUAGGUUUUGGGGCUAGGGUAAGGUUUAAGGUUUUUGGCGUUAGGGUUAAAAUCACUGUCCAAAACCUUUAUAGGAACUCUUUUCCAACCUUUUGGAGUUAGUUAGACCAAAAAAAAACCAAAAAUGAAAAAAAAAUAUUUGGGGUGUUCGGGCUUCCUGAAGGUAAUACCCGGGUAUUAGGUUUUGGGGCUAGGGUAAGGUUUAAGGUUUUUGGCGUUAGGGUUAAAAUCACUGUCCAAAACCUUUGUAGGAACUCUUUUCCAACCUUUUGGAGUUAGUUAGACCAAAAAAAAAAGAAAUUAAAAAAAUAUAUUUGGGGUGUUCGGGCUUCCUUAUUAGUAUCAGUUUAUGGGGCUUUGGAAAGGUUUAAGGUUUUUGGCGUUAGGGUUAAAAUCACUGUCCAAAACCUUUGUAGUAACUCUUUUCCAACCUUUUGGAGUUAGUUAGACUAAAAAAAAAAAUGAAAAAGGAAAAAAAAUGUUUGGGUUGUUAAGGCUUCCUUAAGGUAAUACCCGGGUAUUAAGUUACGGGGCUCGGGUAAGGUUUAAGGUUUUUGGCGUGAGGGUUAAAAUCACUGUCCAAAACCUUUGUAGGAACUCUUUUCCAACCUUUUGGAGUUAGUUAGACCAAAAAAAUGAUAAAAGAAAAAAAAAUAGUUGGGGAUUUCGCGCUUCCUGAAGGUAAUACCCCGGUAUUAGGUUAUGGGGCUAUGGUAAGGUUUAAGGUUUUUAGUGUUAGGGUUAAAAUCACUGUCCAAAACCUUUGUAGGAACUCUUUUCCAACCUUUUGGAGUUAGUUAGACAAGAAAAAAAGGAAAAAUGAAAAAACAAUAUUUGGGGUUUUCGGGCUUCCUGAAGGUAAUACCCGGGUAUUAGGUUUUGGGGCUAGGGUAAGGUUGAAGGUUUUUGGCGUUAGGGUUAAAAUCACUGUCCAAAACCUUUUUAGGAACAUGUUUCAGGACUUUUUGGAGUUAGUUAGACCAAAAAAAACCAAAAAAUAAUAAUAAAAUUUUUUUGGGGUGGUAGGGCUUCCUUAAGGUUAUAACUGGGUAUUCGGUUACAGGGCUAGGUAAAGGUUAAAGGUUUUUGGCGUUAGGGUUAAAGUCACUGUCCAAAACCUUUGUAGGAACUCUUUUCCAACCUUUCGGAGUUAGUUAGACCAAAAAAAAAAAAAAAAAAAAAAAAAUGUUUGGGUUGUUAAGGCUUCAAGGUAAUACCCGGGUAUUAGGUUAUGGGGCUAGGGUAAGGUUUAAGGUUUUUGGCGUUAGGGUUAAAAUCACUGUCCAAAACCUUUAUAGGAACUCUUUUCCAACCUUUUGGAGUUAGUUAGACCAAAAAAAAACCAAAAAUGAAAAAAAAAAUAUUUGGGGUCUUCGGGGUUCCUGAAGGUAUUACCCGGGUAUUGGGUUUUGGGGCUAGGGUAAGGUUUAAGGUUUUUGGCGUUAGGGUUAAAAUCACUGUCCAAAACCUUUGUAGGAACUCUUUUCCAACCUUUUGGAGUUAGUUAGACCAAAAAAAAAAGAUUAAUUAAAAAAAAUAUAUUUGGGGUGUUCGGGCUUCCUUAUUAGUAUCAGUUUAUGGGGCUUUGGAAAGGUUUAAGGUUUUUGGCGUUAGGGUUAAAAUCACUGUCCAAAACCUUUGUAGUAACUCUUUUCCAACCUUUUGGAGUUAGUUAGACUAAAAAAAAAAAUGAAAAAGGAAAAAAAAUGUCUGGGUUGUUAAGGCUUCCUUAAGGUAAUACCCGGGUAUUAGGUUACGGGGCUAGGGUAAGGUUUAAGGUUUUUGGCGUGAGGGUUAAAAUCACUGUCCAAAACCUUUGUAGGAACUCUUUUCCAACCUUUUGGAGUUAGUUAGACCAAAAAAAUGAUAAAAGAAAAAAAAAUAGUUGGGGAUUUCGCGCUUCCUGAAGGUAAUACCCCGGUAUUAGGUUAUGGGGCUAUGGUAAGGUUUAAGGUUUUUAGUGUUAGGGUUAAAAUCACUGUCCAAAACCUUUGUAGGAACUCUUUUCCAACCUUUUGGAGUUAGUUAGACAAGAAAAAAAGGAAAAAUGAAAAAAAAUAUUUGGGGUUUUCGGGCUUCCUGAAGGUAAUACCCGGGUAUUAGGUUUUGGGGCUAGGGUAAGGUUUAAGGUUUUUGGCGUUAGGGUUAAAAUCACUGUCCAAAACCUUUUUAGGAACAUGUUUCAGGACUUUUUGGAGUUAGUUAGACCAAAAAAAACCAAAAAAUAAUAAUAAAAUUUUUUUGGGGUGGUAGGGCUUCCUUAAGGUUAUAACUGGGUAUUCGGUUACAGGGCUAGGUAAAGGUUAAAGGUUUUUGGCGUUAGGGUUAAAAUCACUGUCCAAAACCUUUGUAGGAACUCUUUUCCAACCUUUUCGGAGUUAGUUAGACCAAAAAAAAAAACGAAAAAGAAAAAAAAUGUUUGGGUUGUUAAGGCUUCCUUAAGGUAAUACCCGGGUAUUAGGUUAUGGGGCUAGGGUAAGGUUUAAGGUUUUUGGCGUUAGGGUUAAAAUCACUGUCCAAAACCUUUGUAGGAACUCUUUUCCAACCUUUUGGAGUUAGUUAGACCAAAAAAAAAUGAAAAAUAAAAAAAAAUAUUUGGGGUGUUCGGGCUUCCUGAAGGUAAUACACGGGUAUUAGGUUUUGGGGCCAGGGUAAGGUUGAAGGUUUUUGGCGUUAGGGUUAAAAUCACUGUCCAAAACCUUUUUAGGAACAUGUUUCAGACCUUUUGGAGUUAGUUUGACUAAAAAAUAAUGAAAAAUGAAAAAAAAAUAUUUGGGGUGUUCGGGCUUCCUGAAGGUAAUACCCGGGUAUUAGGUUUUGGGGCUAGGGUAAGGUUUAAGGUUUUUGGCGUUAGGGUUAAAAUCACUGUCCAAAACCUUUGUAGGAACUCUUUUCCAACCUUUUGGAGUUAGUUAGACCAAAAAAAAAUGAUUAAUUAAAAAAAAUAUAUUUGGGGUGUUCGGGCUUCCUUAUUAGUAUCAGUUUAUGGGGCUUUGGAAAGGUUUAAGGUUUUUGGCGUUAGGGUUAAAAUCACUGUCCAAAACCUUUGUAGUAACUCUUUUCCAACCUUUUGGAGUUAGUUAGACCAAAAAAAAAAAUGAAAAAGGAAAAAAAAUGUUUGGGUUGUUAAGGCUUCCUUAAGGUAAUACCCGGGUAUUAAGUUACGGGGCUCGGGUAAGGUUUAAGGUUUUUGGCGUGAGGGUUAAAAUCACUGUCCAAAACCUUUGUAGGAACUCUUUUCCAACCUUUUGGAGUUAGUUAGACCAAAAAAAAUGAUAAAAGAAAAAAAAAUAGUUGGGGAUUUCGGGCUUCCUGAAGGUAAUACCCGGUAUUAGGUUAUGGGGCUAUGGUAAGGUUUAAGGUUUUUAGUGUUAGGGUUAAAAUCACUGUCCAAAACCUUUGUAGGAACUCUUUUCCAACCUUUUGGAGUUAGUUAGACAAGAAAAAAAGGAAAAAUGAAAAAACAAUAUUUGGGGUUUUCGGGCUUCCUGAAGGUAAUACCCGGGUAUUAGGUUUUGGGGCUAGGGUAAGGUUGAAGGUUUUUGGCGUUAGGGUUAAAAUCACUGUCCAAAACCUUUUUAGGAACAUGUUUCAGGACUUUUUGGAGUUAGUUAGACCAAAAAAAACCAAAAAAUAAUAAUAAAAUUUUUUUGGGGUGGUAGGGCUUCCUUAAGGUUAUAACUGGGUAUUCGGUUACAGGGCUAGGUAAAGGUUAAAGGUUUUUGGCGUUAGGGUUAAAGUCACUGUCCAAAACCUUUGUAGGAACUCUUUUCCAACCUUUCGGAGUUAGUUAGACCAAAAAAAAAAUGAAAAAAGAAAAAAAAUGUUUGGGUUGUUAAGGCUUCCUUCAGGUAAUACCCGGGUAUUAAGUUACGGGGCUCGGGUAAGGUUUAAGGUUUUUGGCGUUAGGGUUAAAAUCACUGUCCAAAACCUUUGUAGGAACUCGUUUCCAACCUUUUGGAGUUAGUUACACCAAAAAAAAGUGAAAAAUAAAAAAAAAUAUUUGGGGUGUUCGGGCUUCCUGAAGGUAAUACACGGGUAUUAGGUUUUGGGGCCAGGGUAAGGUUGAAGGUUUUUGGCGUUAGGGUUAAAAUCACUGUCCAAAACCUUUUUAGGAACAUGUUUCAGACCUUUUGGAGUUAGUUUGACUAAAAAAUAAUGAAAAAUGAAAAAAAAAUAUUUGGGGUGUUCGGGCUUCCUGAAGGUAAUACCCGGGUAUUAGGUUUUGGGGCUAGGGUAAGGUUUAAGGUUUUUGGCGUUAGGGUUAAAAUCACUGUCCAAAACCUUUGUAGGAACUCUUUUCAACCUUUUGGAGUUAGUUAGACCAAAAAAAAGAACAAGAAAAAGAAAAAAAAAAUUGGGGGUUUUCAAGCUUCCUGAAGGUAAUACCCGGGUAUUAGGUUUUGGGGCUAGGGUAAGGUUUAAGGUUUUUGGCGUUAGGGUUAAAAUCACUGUCCAAAACCUUUGUAGGAACUCUUUUCCAACCUUUUGGAGUUAGUUAAGACCAAAAAAAAUGAAAAAUGAAAAAAAAAUAUUUGGGGUUUUACGGGCUUCCUUAAGGUAAUACCCGGGUAUUAGGUUAUGGGGCUUGGGAAAGGUUUAAGGUUUUUGGCGUUAGGGUUAAAAUCACUGUCCAAAACCUUUUUAGGAACAUGUUUCAGACCUUUUGGAGUUAGUUAGACCAAAAAAAAACGAAAAAUGAAAAAAAAAUAUUUGGGGUGUUCGGGCUUUCUGAAGGUAAUACCCGGUUAUGGGGGUAUGGGGCUAUGGUAAGGUUUAAGGUUUUUGGCGUUAGGGUUAAAAUCACUGUCCAAAACCUUUGUAGGAACACUUUUCAAACCUUUUGGAGUUAGUUAGACCAAAAAAAAAGAAAAAUGAAAAAGAAAUAUUUGGGGUGUUCGGGCUUCCUGAAAGGUAAUACCCGGGUAUUAGGUUUUGGGGCUAUGGUAAGGUUUAAGGUUUUUGGCGUGAGGGUUAAAAUCACUGUCCAAAACCUUUUUAGGAACAUGUUUCAGACCUUCUGGAGUUGGUUACACCAAAAAAAAUGUAAAAUGAAAAAAAUACAUUUGGGGUGUUCGGGCUUCCUGAAGGUAAUACCCGGGUAUUAGGUUAUGGGGCUAGGGUAAGGUUUAAGGUUUUUGGCGUUAGGGUAAAAAUCACUGUCCAAAACCUUUGUAGGAACUCUUUUCCAACCUUUUGGAGUUAGUUAGACCAAAAAAAAUGUUAAAUGAAAAAAAAAUAUUUGGGGUUUUCGGGCUUCCUGAAGGUAAUACCCGGCUAUUAGGUUAUGGGGCUAGGGUAAGGUUUAAGGUUUUUGGCGUUAGGGUUAAAAUUACUGUCCAAAACCUCUUUAGGGACAUGUUUCAGACCUUUUGGAGUUGGUUACCCAAAAAAAAAAGGAAAAAUGAAAAAAAAAUAUUUGGGGUGUUCGGGCUUCCUGAAUGUAAUACCCGGGUCUUAGGUUUUGGGGCUAUGGUAAGGUUUAAGGUUUUUGGCGUUAGGGUUAAAAUCACUGUCCAAAACCUUUGUAGGAACUCUUUUCCAACCUUUUGGAGUUAGUAAGACCAAAAAAAAAUGAAAAAUGAAAAAAAAAUAUUUGGGGUUUUUUGGCUUCCUGAAGGUAUUAGGUUAUGGGGCUAUGGUAAGGUUUAAGGUUUUUGGCGUGAGGGUUAAAAUCACUGUCCAAAACCUUUUUAGGAACAUGUUUCAGACCUUCUGGAGUUGGUUACACCAAAAAAAAUGUAAAAUGAAAAAAAUAUAUUUGGGGUGUUCAGGCUUCCUGAAGGUAAUAACCGGGUAUUAGGUCAUGGGGCGUGGGUAAGGUUUAAGGUUUUUGGCGUGAGGGUUAAAAUCACUGUCCAAAACCUUUGUAGGAACUCUUUUCCAACCUUUUGGAGUUAGUUACACCAAAAAAUAAUGAAAAAUGAAAAAAAAUAUUUGGGGUGUUCGGGCUUUCUGAAGGUAAUACCCGGUUAUGGGGGUAUGGGGCUAUGGUAAGGUUUAAGGUUUUUGGCGUUAGGGUUAAAAUCACUGUCCAAAACCUUUGUAGGAACUCUUUUCCAACCUUUUGGAGUUAGUUAGACCAAAAAAAAAAGAACAAAGAAAAAAAAAAUUGGGGGUUUUCGGGCUUCCUGAAGGUAAUACCCGGGUAUUAGGUUAUGGGGCUAGGGUAAGGUUUAAGGUUUUUGGCGUGAGGGUUAAAAUCACUGUCCAAAACCUUUUUAGGAACAUGUUUCAGACCUUCUGGAGUUAGUUAGACCAAAAAAAAUGUUAAAUGAAAAAAAAAUAUUUGGGGUUUUCGGGCUUCCUGAAGGUAAUACCCGGGUAUUUGGUUAUGGGGCUAGGUUAAGGUUUAAGGUUUUUGGCGUGAGGGUAAAAAUCACUGUCCAAAACCUUUGUAGGAACUCUUUUCCAACUUUUUGGAGUUAGUUACACCAAAAAAAAUGUUAAAUGAAAAAAAAAUAUUUGGGGUUUUCGGGCUUCCUGAAGGUAAUACCCGGCUAUUAGGUUAUGGGGCUAGGGUAAGGUUUAAGGUUUUUGGCGUUAGGGUUAAAAUUACUGUCCAAAACCUCUUUAGGGACAUGUUUCAGACCUUUUGGAGUUGGUUACACCAAAAAAAAAAAGGAAAAAUGAAAAAAAAAUAUUUGGGGUGUUCGGGCUUCCUGAAUGUAAUACCCGGGUAUUAGGUUUUGGGGCUAGGGUAAGGUUUAAGGUUUUUGGCGUUAGGGUUAAAAUCACUGUCCAAAACCUUUGUAGGAACUCUUUUCCAACCUUUUGGAGUUAGUAAGACCAAAAAAAAUGAAAAAUGAAAAAAAAAUAUUUGGGGUUUUUGGGCUUCCUGAAGGUAUUAGGUUAUGGGGCUAUGGUAAGGUUUAAGGUUUUUGGCGUGAGGGUUAAAAUCACUGUCCAAAACCUUUUUAGGAACAUGUUUCAGACCUUCUGGAGUUGGUUACACCAAAAAAAAUGUAAAAUGAAAAAAAUAUAUUUGGGGUGUUCAGGCUUCCUGAAGGUAAUAACCGGGUAUUAGGUCAUGGGGCGUGGGUAAGGUUUAAGGUUUUUGGUGUGAGGGUAAAAAUCACUGUCCAAAACCUUUGUAGGAACUCUUUUCCAACCUUUUGGAGUUAGUUACACCAAAAAAUAAUGAAAAAUGAAAAAAAAUAUUUGGGGUGUUCGGGCUUUCUGAAGGUAAUACCCGGGUUAUGGGGGUUAUGGGGCUAUGGUAAGGUUUAAGGUUUUUGGCGUUAGGGUUAAAAUCACUGUCCAAAACCUUUGUAGGAACUCUUUUCCAACCUUUUGGAGUUAGUUAGACCAAAAAAAAAAGAAAAAAGAAAAAAAAAUUGGGGGUUUUCGGGCUUCCUGAAGGUAAUACCCGGGUAUUAGGUUAUGGGGCUAGGGUAAGGUUUAAGGUUUUUGGCGUUAGGGUUAAAAUUACUGUCCAAAACCUCUUUAGGGACAUGUUUCAGACCUUUUGGAGUUGGUUACACCAAAAAAAAAGGAAAAAUGAAAAAAAAUAUUUGGGGUGUUCGGGCUUCCUGAAUGUAAUACCCGGGUCUUAGGUUUUGGGGCUAUGGUAAGGUUUAAGGUUUUUGGCGUUAGGGUUAAAAUCACUGUCCAAAACCUUUGUAGGAACUCUUUUCCAACCUUUUGGAGUUAGUAAGACCAAAAAAAAAUGAAAAAUGAAAAAAAAAUAUUUGGGGUUUUUGGGCUUCCUGAAGGUAUUAGGUUAUGGGGCUAUGGUAAGGUUUAAGGUUUUUGGCGUGAGGGUUAAAAUCACUGUCCAAAACCUUUUUAGGAACAUGUUUCAGACCUUCUGGAGUUGGUUACACCAAAAAAAAUGUAAAAUGAAAAAAAUAUAUUUGGGGUGUUCAGGCUUCCUGAAGGUAAUACCCGGGUAUUAGGUCAUGGGGCGUGGGUAAGGUUUAAGGUUUUUGGUGUGAGGGUUAAAAUCACUGUCCAAAACCUUUGUAGGAACUCUUUUCCAACUUUUUGGAGUUAGUUACACCAAAAAAUAAUGAAAAAUGAAAAAAAAUAUUUGGGGUGUUCGGGCUUUCUGAAGGUAAUACCCGGUUAUGGGGGUAUGGGGCUAUGGUAAGGUUUAAGGUUUUUGGCGUUAGGGUUAAAAUCACUGUCCAAAACCUUUGUAGGAACUCUUUUCCAACCUUUUGGAGUUAGUUAGACCAAAAAAAAAAGAACAAAGAAAAAAAAAAUUGGGGGUUUUCGGGCUUCCUGAAGGUAAUACCCGGGUAUUAGGUUAUGGGGCUAGGGUAAGGUUUAAGGUUAUUGGCGUGAGGGAUAAAAUUACUGUCCAAAACCUUUUUAGGAACAUGUUUCAGACCUUCUGGAGUUAGUUAGACCAAAAAAAAUGUUAAAUGAAAAAAAAAUAUUUGGGGUUUUCGGGCUUCCUAAAGGUAAUACCCGGGUAUUUGGUUAUGGGGCUAGGUUAAGGUUUAAGGUUUUUGGCGUGAGGGUAAAAAUCACUGUCCAAAACCUUUGUAGGAACUCUUUUCCAACUUUUUGGAGUUAGUUACACCAAAAAAAAUGUUAAAUGAAAAAAAAAUAUUUGGGGUUUUCGGGCUUCCUGAAGGUAAUACCCGGCUAUUAGGUUAUGGGGCUAGGGUAAGGUUUAAGGUUUUUGGCGUUAGGGUUAAAAUUACUGUCCAAAACCUCUUUAGGGACAUGUUUCAGACCUUUUGGAGUUGGUUACACCAAAAAAAAAAAGGAAAAAUGAAAAAAAAAUAUUUGGGGUGUUCGGGCUUCCUGAAUGUAAUACCCGGGUCUUAGGUUUUGGGGCUAUGGUAAGGUUUAAGGUUUUUGGCGUUAGGGUUAAAAUCACUGUCCAAAACCUUUGUAGGAACUCUUUUCCAACCUUUUGGAGUUAGUAAGACCAAAAAAAAAAUGAAAAAUGAAAAAAAAAUAUUUGGGGUUUUUGGGCUUCCUGAAGGUAUUAGGUUAUGGGGCUAUGGUAAGGUUUAAGGUUUUUGGUGUGAGGGUUAAAAUCACUGUCCAAAACCUUUUUAGGAACAUGUUUCAGACCUUCUGGAGUUGGUUACACCAAAAAAAAUGUAAAAUGAAAAAAAUAUAUUUGGGGUGUUCAGGCUUCCUGAAGGUAUUACCCGGGUAUUAGGUCAUGGGGCGUGGGUAAGGUUUAAGGUUUUUGGUGUUAGGGUAAAAAUCACUGUCCAAAACCUUUGUAGGAACUCUUUUCCAACCUUCUGGAGUUAAUUAGACCAAGAAAAAAACGAAAAAUAAAAAAAAAAAUUUGGGGGGUGUUAAGGCUUCCUUAAGGUAAUACCCAGUUCGACCUGUCACAUGUUCCCAGUCGAGUCUCUGAGCUCAAUCUGUGUAAUGUGUUGGUAGGAAGUUUAAUGACUCAGCUCAAUUGGUAUGCUAUGCUGUCUAUCUUUUAGACUAUGUGUUUGUAGAGCAAUUAUUUUUGGAGGUUCAGUUAGGGAUUAGAGUUGGUAUGGUUAAGUGUUAAAAUAAUAAUAAUAAUAAUAAUAAUAAUAAUAAUAAUAAUAAUAAUAAUAAUAAUUUUUCUUAUUGAGAAGGACUAGGUGGUGUUAGUAGGGAGGUAAUAGGUUGAAUUUUAUCUAUGGGAGUAGGGUGCAUUAGUGCAAAGUCUCAGAGGAUGGGUGAGAGAGAAACAGGUUGUUGGGACUGCAACCAUUCUGCUUCUACAGGGAUUCGAGUGAUAGAGAGAGAAUAGAACUUGCCACAGUGACUAGCCAGAUAAACUCUCCUCACCUGUUGGUUUUCAUCCUCUGAUAUGAAAAAAGAGGGUGGGGGUGACUUAGCUAAGAUAGAGGUUAGUAAGGUUAGGGUUAGGGUUAGGGGUUAGGGUUAGGGGUUAGGGUUAGAUUUAGGGUUAGGGUUAGGGUUAGGGUAAGUGUUAGUGUCUGUAGGGAGCAAACCGUGGCUAUUUGGAAGAAUUGAAAUUCAUUAAGGAAUACGACACCAGAUUGUCUAGACUCUGGACUCUGUUAAAGGUAGCAAAGCUAUGGUUGGAAGUAAUGAAAUUGAAGUAUAAAAUAUAAGGUUAGUUAUAAAUUGUUAUUGAUAAAGUAUUAUUUCAGAGUCAAAAGUGGACAGUUCCGUCUGGAACUCCUUCCACCCAGGCCUGUCUAGGCCAUAGACUCUGCUAAACUCCCUAAUGCUGUGACCUAAAAAUUAUUUAGAUUAAAUUGGAAAUAUUUAUGAAUCAUUAUUUAGAAAUUAUUAAUUCAGAGUCAAAAGUGGACAGUUCUGUCUUGAACCCCUUCCACUCAGGCCUGUCUAGGCUUUAGACGCUGUUUAACUCCCUAACGCUGUGACCUAAAAUUAUUUUAGAUUAAAUCGGAAAUAUUUAUAAAUUAUUCUUUAUAAAUUAUUAUUCAGAGUCAAAAGUGGAUGGUUCUGUCUGGAACCCCUUCCACCCAGGCCUGUCUAGGCCAUAGACUCUGCUAAACUCCCUAACGCUGUGACCUAAAAUUAUUUUAGAUUAAAUCUGAGAUAUUUAUUAAUUGUUAUUUAUAAAGUAUUAUUGUUCACAGUCAAAAGUGGAUGGUUCUGUCUGAAACCCCUUCCACCUAGGCCUGUCCAGGCCAUAGACUCUGCUAAACUCCCUAACGCUGUGACCUAAAAUUAUUUUAGAUUAAAUCGGAGAGAUUUAUUAAUUAUUAUUUAUAAAUUAUUAUUCAGAGUCAAAAGUGGACAGUUCUGUCUGGAACCCCUUCCACUCAGGCAUGUCUAGGCCAUAGACUCUGCUAAGCUCCCUCAAGGCUAUGAUUAAAAAUUAUUUAAGAUUAAAUUGCAAAUAUUUAUAAAUUAUUUCAAAAUUAUUUCAAAUUUAUUAUUUCUUAUUUCAGAGUCAAAAGUGGAUGGUUCUGUCUGGAACCCCUGCCACUCAGGCCUGUCUAGGUCAUAGACUCUGCUAAACUCCCUAACACUGUGACCUAAAAUUAUUUUAGAUUAAAUCGGAGAUAUUUAUUAAUUGUUAUUUAUAAAGUAUUAUUGUUCACAGUCAAAAGUGGAUGGUUCUGUCUGAAACCCCUUCCACUCAGGCCUGUCUAGGCCAUAGACUCUGCUAAGCUCCCUCAAGGCUAUGAUUAAAAAUUAUUUAAGAUUAAAUUGCAAAUAUUUAUAAAUUAUUUCAAAAUUAUUUCAAAAUAUAUUAUUUCUUAUUUUAGAGUCAAAAGUGGAUGGUUCUGUCUGGAAGCCCUUCCACUCAGGCCUGUCUAGGCUUUAGACUCUGCUAAGCUCCCUCAAGGCUGUGACCUAAGAUUAUUUUAGAUUAAAUCGGAAAUAUUUAUGAAUCAUUAUUUAGAAAUUAUUAAUUCAGAGUCAAAAGUGGACAGUUCUGUCUUGAACCCCUUCCACUCAGGCCUGUCUAGGCUUUAGACGCUUUUUAACUCCCUAACGCUGUGACCUAAAAUUAUUUUAGAUUAAAUCGGAAAUAUUUAUAAAUUAUUCUUUAUAAAUUAUUAUUCAGAGUCAAAAGUGGAUGGUUCUGUCUGGAACCCCUUCCACCCAGGCCUGUCUAGGCCAUAGACUCUGCUAAACUCCCUAACGCUGUGACCUAAAAUUAUUUUAGAUUAAAUCUGAGAUAUUUAUUAAUUGUUAUUUAUAAAGUAUUAUUGUUCACAGUCAAAAGUGGAUGGUUCUGUCUGAAACCCCUUCCACCUAGGCCUGUCCAGGCCAUAGACUCUGCUAAACUCCCUAACGCUGUGACCUAAAAUUAUUUUAGAUUAAAUCGGAGAGAUUUAUUAAUUAUUAUUUAUAAAUUAUUAUUCAGAGUCAAAAGUGGACAGUUCUGUCUGGAACCCCUUCCACUCAGGCAUGUCUAGGCCAUAGACUCUGCUAAGCUCCCUCAAGGCUAUGAUUAAAAAUUAUUUAAGAUUAAAUUGCAAAUAUUUAUAAAUUAUUUCAAAAUUAUUUCAAAUUUAUUAUUUCUUAUUUCAGAGUCAAAAGUGGAUGGUUCUGUCUGGAACCCCUGCCACUCAGGCCUGUCUAGGUCAUAGACUCUGCUAAACUCCCUAACACUGUGACCUAAAAUUAUUUUAGAUUAAAUCGGAGAUAUUUAUUAAUUGUUAUUUAUAAAGUAUUAUUGUUCACAGUCAAAAGUGGAUGGUUCUGUCUGAAACCCCUUCCACUCAGGCCUGUCUAGGCCAUAGACUCUGCUAAGCUCCCUCAAGGCUAUGAUUAAAAAUUAUUUAAGAUUAAAUUGCAAAUAUUUAUAAAUAAUUUCAAAAUUAUUUCAAAAUAUAUUAUUUCUUAUUUUAGAGUCAAAAGUGGAUGGUUCUGUCUGGAAGCCCUUCCACUCAGGCCUGUCUAGGCUUUAGACUCUGCUAAGCUCCCUCAAGGCUGUGACCUAAGAUUAUUUUAGAUUAAAUCGGAAAUAUUUAUGAAUUAUUAUUUAUAAAUUAUUAUUCAGAGUCAAAAGUGGACGGUUCUGUCUGGAACCCCUUCCAUUCAGGCCUGUCUAGGCCAAAGACUCUGCUAGACUCCCUAACGCUGUGACCUAAAAUUAUUUUAGAUUAAAUCGGAAAUAUUUAUGAAUUAUUAUUUAUAAAUUAUUAUUCAGAGUCAAAAGUGGACGGUUCUGUCUGGAUCCCCUUCUACUCAGGCCUGUCUAGGCCAUAGAAUCUGCUGAACUCCCUAACGCUGUGAUCUAAAAUAGAUCUUAAAGGUUAGUUAUAAAUUAUAUUUUGGAAAUUAUUAUUUCAGAGUCAAAAGUGUCAAUUUCAUUAAUAAUUGCAUAAUUUAGUUUUGUUAUAUUAUUAAUUUUAGAUCAAUAAAUAGAAUUAUUGGUCCAGAGUAUCGACUUUUCAGAAGGUUGCAUUGUUUUAGAUGGAUAAGUUUGGAGUUAAGUGGAGAUUUUUUAUAUAGAUUAUAUAGGACCUAGGGUUCACUGUAAAUUAUUAUUUCAGAGUUAGAAAGUGAGUAGGAAUUGUAGUUUAUUUAGGUAUUGGACUAUUCUAAAGUUGUAAUCCAUGAGUUAAACAAUUUUGAGUUUAAUAAGUAAGGUUAGCUCCCAAAUUGUUGCUUACGGGUGUAAAUUAGAAUGUUGUAUAAAAUUGUGUCAUCACUUUCUACACUGUUUAUUUUGUUAAAAAGUACAAACAGGAACUGUUAAAUUAUAAAGUACAUUAGUAUGAAAAAUAAAAAUUGAAUGUAUAGUUGUUCCAAAACAUUUUUUAUUUGUUCAAAAAAGGUACAAUAUACAGGUAGGGGGAAAUUAAUAGGAAAAUAAAAAUAGAACUAAAAAUAAAAAAUAAAAAAUAAAAACUGGGAUAAAAUAUGGAAUGUACAAUGUUUACCAAAUUAGAAAGUGGGAAAUACGAGAGUGGCAAAAACGAAAAGGUGAAAAAAGGAAACUGUAAAAAACUGGACCCUGGGAUCAAGAGGUGGGAAAUACGAGUUUGGUAAAUGGACAAAUGCUGAAAUGCUAUGUUAGAGUAGAAAUUAAAGUAAACCAUAAAAGGUGCGGGUUUUAAGGCCUUUAUUCAUGCACCAGGAUAAACCAACACUCAAAAUAGAAGACCAGAGGACCAGAUUGUGUUGAGUUAAGUGCUCAAUUAAUUAUUUUGGAAAAUCUUAUUUUUUUGAAAAAUUCUUCAAAUAAACCAUUACAUUGACCCAGCGCUGGUAUUGGACAUUAAAUUUCAGGACACGUCCUCAGUAGUGAACCCCGAAAUCAUCGGAUGUUUCGGCCGUUUUAACACUAGAUAUCCUCAUUCAAGGAAGGCCCCACGGAGUCGAUCAACUUUCCUGUUGUGCCCUGUAGCCAAUUGGAGCUAUUUUAGUCCUAUUUAGUUUUGGUGCUGUGAAGUUUUAGUUGUAUGCUAGUUUGGUAGUUGCUAUUCUGUAACUAUUUAGAGUAAUUUUGAGGUGUUUGAGAGGCUUUUUGUAGACUUACCCUAGUGGUCCUAUGUUGUUGUUGAUGUGAGGCGUUUCUUUUCCAGUAGUGUAAAAUCUGUUGGAGGGGGGAAAAGGUUCCAGCUGUCCAGCCGCGGCGGCGGCGGCGGCGGUGUGUCUGAAGUCCGGGGUCCUGGGCGGGGGAAAGAAGAUAGGCGGUCCGCGGGAAGGUUUGCUGGGACUCGGUGCCGUCGGCGGGUCGAAGCUCGGUGGUGGCCGGCUUGGAGUGAAGGAGGUGCGGCGUCUUCUUUCAGGUGGCGGCACUGGGUCUUCCUCGAGGCGGUGGUCCGUCUUCUUGGUCCAGUGGUCAGUGCUUUGUCUCAAUUACAGGAACAGGAAUUGCUCUUUAGUGCACAGCACUUAAAAGUGCUUUUAACAGCAGCAGAGAUCCCCAGAGUUGGGCUCGACUCAUGGUUUGUGUUGUUCCUCUCAGACAUGGUUGUGUUCUCUUCUCGAUGUUUGUUUGGUUGUAUUUUAAACUUUCAAGUUGUUUUAAGUUAAUUUUAAAGUGGUUUAUUUGUUUUAAAUUGAGUUUUGCUACAUUAAAUUUGUAUGCAAUCGCAAGGGAUUGUGGGUAUUUUAGUUCUGAGGGAUGAGAGCCUAAGGAAUCAAUCUUCCUGUUACAGCAAAGGAUUGUGGGUAAAACCGAGAGUGAGUGAGGUACUUCGUUUCUGGCAUGAGAGCCUUGGGAAUCCAUCUCCCUGUUGCAGAAAUGGAUUGUGGGUAAAACCGUGAGUGAGGGAGGUACAUUUUUCCUGGCAUGAGAACCUCAGGAGUCAGUCCUUCCUAAGAAAAAAGAGGGGAGGGGGGAAGAAAAACAAAAGCACAGGAACCCUAAAAUGAAAUAAUACAAUAUAAAACAAUGAAAAAAUAAAAAAAUAAAAGAAGAACAAAAGUGGAUUGCAAAAAGGGAAGGGGAAGAAAAAAGGAAAAAAAGAAGUGUCAAGAGCAAAUAGCAAAAAUCAAAAGUGAGCUUAAAAACAGAGAACAGUUCCCUAAAAGACAGACAGAAAUGUAAAUUUGAUCAAUGUCCUAAGGGAAAAUCUGUACGUGUGUGUGUGUGUGUGUGUGUGUGUGUGUGUGUGUGUGUGUGUGUGUGUGUGUGUGUGUUCUUUUUUGCUAGCUUAGUCUGGUGUCACUGAUGGUCAGUUAUUGAUAAGUAUUUAUUAUUUAAAUUUUUGAUGAAGUUGUUUGUAGUGGGGUUAGCUGGCUAAUUUUAGAGUGUUAAAAAAGAUGUUUGAGGGGGAGGAUUUAGGGGGCACGGCGGUUCCCCUUCAGGUCUCUCUUAAUCCUCCAUAUAGGUGACCCAAAUGGGGUUACCCCCCGGCCGGGGUAGGCCUAGGCUGAAGAUCACCUAUUUGUCCUCUGUGAAGGUGAAAAUAAAGGGGCAGGGGAGGGAAUAAGAAAGAGGGGGUGUGUUAGAGAGAGGGGGAGAGAUGAGGGAGAGAGAUGAGGGAGAGAGAGAGAGAGAGGGGGGGGUGAGAGAGAGAGAGAGAGAGAAGGGAAGAGGGAGAGGGGGGUUUAAGGGAGAGGUGGAGAUGGUGGAAAAUAAAGAUUGGUGAGGGGGAUUUGGUGGCGGAUGAAACAUCCCAUAGCUCCCCAGCUCUCACCAUCCAUGUGAGGAGAGUGAGCAAGGGACAUAGUCCCCCGACCCGACUAGGUCUAGGCUCUGCUCUCCUCACGGUCCUCACGAGAUACAAAGAGAUAUGUAAACGUGGAAGUGAGAGUUCUCUAGGCAGAGUUUUGGGUUUGGUUUGAGCUGAGUUGGUAAGUUGAUUAUUGAUUACAAUUUUAAGUUCUAAAAGUGGAUAGAGUCAAAAAGUCAAAGAGGAUUGUGGUGGGAGCAGGUGGUCCGUCUGGCACCAUUCUGCUCAUGCAGGGAUUCGAGUGAUAGAAAGAGAAUAGAUCUUGCCACCGUGACUCGCCAUUGAGACUCUCCUCACCUGCUGGUUGGAGUACUAUGUUACGGGGUUGGGAAAGGUUUAAGGUUUUUGGGGUUAGGGUUCAAAUCACUGUCCAAAACCUUUUUAGGAAAAAGUUUCAGACCUUUUGGAAUAGUUAGACCCAAAAAAUUGUAAAAUGAAAAAAAUAUAUUUGGGGUGUUCGGGCUUCCUGAAGGUAAUACCCGGGUACUACGUUAUGGGACUAGGGUAAGGUUUUAAGGUUUUUGGCGUUAGGGUUAAAAUCACUGUCCAAAACCUUUGUAGGAACUCUUCCAACCUUUUGGAGUUAGUUAGACCAAAAAAAAACGAAAAAUGAAAUAAAUUUUUUUGGGGUGUAAAGGCUUCCUUAAGGUAAUACCCUUGUAUUAAGUUAUGGGGCUAGGGUAAGGUUUAAGGUUUUUUGGCGUUAGGGUUAAAAUCACUGUCCAAAACCUUUUUAGGAACAUGUUUCAGGACUUUUUGGAGUUAGUUAGACCAAAAAAAAACAAAAAAAAAUAAUAAAAUUCUUUGGGGGGUGGUAGGGCUUCCUUUAGGUAAUAACCGGGUAUUAGGUUACAGGGCUAGGGUAAAGGUUAAAGGUUUUGGCGUUAGGGUUAAAGUCAUUGUCCAAAACCUUUGUAGGAACUCUUUUCCAACCUUUCGGAGUUAGUUAGACCAAAAAAAAAAACGAAAAAUGAAAAAAAAUGUUUGGGGUGUGAAGGCUUCCUGAAGGUAAUACCCGGGUAUUAGGUUAUGGGGCUCGGGUAAGGUUUAAGGUUUUUGGCGUUAGGGUUAAAAUCACUGUCCAAAACCUUUGUAGGAACUCUUUUCCAACCUUUUGGAGUUAGUUACACCAAAAAAAAAUGAAAACUAAAAAAAAAUGUUUGGGGUGUUCGGGCUUCCUGAAGGUAAUUCAUGUAUUAGGUUAUGGGGCUAGGGUAAGGUUUAAGGGUUUUGGCGUUAGGGUUAAAAUCACUGUCCAAAUCUUUUUAGGAACUUGUUUCAGACCUUUUGGAGUUGGUUAGACCAAAAAAAAGAAAAAAGAAAAAAAAAAUAUUUGGGGAUUUCGCGCUUCCUGAAGGUAAUACCCGGGUAUUAGGUUAUGGGGCUAGGGUAAGGCUUAAAGUUCUUGGCGUUUGGGUUGAAUCACUGUCCAAAACCUUUGUAGAAACUCGUUUCCAACCUUUUGGAGUUAGACCAAAAAAAAAUGAAAAAUGAAAAAAAUAUAUUUGGGUUGUUUGGGCUUCCUGACGGUAAUUCCCGGGUAUUAGGUUAUGGGGCUAGGGUAAGGUUUAAGGUUUUUGGCGUUAGGGUUAAAAUCACUGUCCAAAACCUUUGUAGGAACUCUUGUCCAACCUUUUGGAGUUAGUUAGACCAAAAAAAAAGAUAAAAGACAAAAAAAAUAGUUGGGGAUUUUGCGCUUCCUGAAGGUAAUACCCGGGUAUUAGGUUAUGGGGCUACAAUAAGGUUUAAGGUUUUUGGUGUUAGGGUUAAAAUCACUGUCCAAAACCUUUGUAGGACCUCUUUUCCAACCUUUUGGAGUUAGUUAGACAAGAAAAAAAGGAAAAAUGAAAAAAAAAUAUUUGUGGUUUUCGAGCUUCCUGAAGGUAAUACCCGGGUAUUAGGUUUUGGGGCUAGGGUAAGGUUGAAGGUUUUUGGUGUUAGGGUUAAAAUCACUGUCCAAAACCUUUGUAGGAACUCUUUUCCAACCUUUUGGAGUUAGUUAGACAAGAAAAAAAGGAAAAAUGAAAAAAAAAAUUUGUGGUUUUCGAGCUUCCUGAAGGUAAUACCCGGGUAUUAGGUUUUGGGGCUAGGGUAAGGUUGAAGGUUUUUGGCGUUAGGGUUAAAAUCACUGUCCAAAACCUUUGUAGGAACUCUUUUCCAACCUUCUGGAGUAAGUUCGACUAAAAAAAAAUAGAAAAAAAAAAUAUAUAUAUAUAUUUGUGGUUUUCGGGCUUCCUGAAGGUAAUACCCGGGUAUUAGGUUUUGGGGCUAGGGUAAGGUUGAAGGUUUUUGGCGUUAGGGUUAAAAUCACUGUCCAAAA